GUCCUUUCAUUACCCUGUAGGCUUGUACAUCAUUAUGUGUCUCUUCAAUGGUGCUUAGUGGCUAAUUUUACUUGCUCCAGUCAUGAGAUCUAGGUGUCUGUCGACAAGUCAGCGACAUUGUCGUCGUCUUUGCAUAUUAAUGCUGGCGAAUUUGUUUGCCUUAGCGUGUUCUGCGGAAUGUGCUCCCACAUAGUUGCAUAGGAAAAUCUGGGCAACUGCCCCUUCUAUAUUUGUCGUGCUCGUUGUUAUGUCCAGUAGAUGUUUUCAUUACCUUGUUGUUACGUGUCUCUUCAAUGGUUGCUAUAAACUAGAUGUCGUUAACUGUGUCCUAAGUCCACUGUUCCAUGUGCCCAUGAACUAGGUCCUUGUUUAUCGAUUUGUUAUUGG
rnacentral:lncRNA from 1 species